rnacentral:rRNA from 1 species
CCUACGGGAUGCAGCAGUGAGGAAUAUUGGUCAAUGGGCGCGAGCCUGAACCAGCCAAGUCGCGUGAAGGAAGACGGUCCUAUGGAUUGUAAACCUCUUUUGUCGGGGAGCAAAAGCCGCCACGCGUGGCGUUCCGAGAGUACCCGAAGAGAAAGCAGCGGCUAACUUCGUGCAGGCAGCCGCGGUAAUACGGAGGAUGUGAGCGUUAUCCGGAUUUAUUGUGUUUAAAGGGUGCGCAGGCGGAAGAUCAGGUCAGCGGUAAAAUUGAGAGGCUCAACCUCUUCGAGCAGUUGAAACUGGUUUUCUUGAGUGAGUGAGAAGUAUGCGGAAUGCGUGGUGGAGCGGUGAAAUGCAUAGAUAUCACGCAGAACUCCGAUUGCGAAGGCAGCAUACCGGCGCUCAACUGACGCUCAUGCACGAAAGUGUGGGUAUCGAACAGGAUUAGAUACCCGGGUAGUC